rnacentral:lncRNA from 1 species
AGGUGUCUUACUAAAAACUCCUCAGCAAACAUUGAGCUAGAGUUAUCAAGACCAGUGUGUCUGGAAUUAUAUCAGGACUGUAAGAACUUGGGAAGAUUUAUGUUGCGUUACGGAGGAAAGACUAUAGCAGCUGGCAUAGUCACUGAGGUAAUGCGUGAAAGUUUAACCAAGUUUUCCUUAACAAUUUUUUUAACAAGUUUUAUUUGCUCGUGUGUACUUGGAAACUUGUUGACUCUAAACCCGAGAAAGUAAAGUUGUCAAGGAAUUUAAGGAAAACUUGUUCGUCUAUUACGGGACCUUAUACUGUACUUAGUUGAUACACUUGAUACUUUUUGUGUGUUUGUGUUGGUGUUAUAUACUCAGGUGAAUAUGAUGUUUGUGAUGUUACUCUGAGUAUGCAUCCACACGGACAAGCUGAAAAGUUUGCCUUAGGGAUGAGCCGAUAAGGAAAAUUGCCGAUUACUGAGGCCGAUUAUUUAUAGGUCAAUUAUUGUAACUAAUCGGCCGAUUAAUCGGUACCCACCGAUUAUUUUAAAAAGCAAGGGAAAAAUCACAAGAUGACCAACAAUGAAGUUGUAAAUGCGGUUUUAUUGUUUACAAUACACACUUUAUACAAUUAAAAACAGCUUCAGUCUCUCAUGUCAAUAGUCAAAGUUUAAAUUUGGCAGAUUAUGGUGUAAAAACAAGGCACUGUCAGCUAUGCGGAACUAGUCUGCUGCGUUUUUUUAGUGGAAAUGUUCUCAGCUUCAUUUCGCUUGAGACAAAAGACACAGGUUUGGCACUAACAAAAUGUGAAAAUCUAUUCGCUUGUAUUCAGUAUUUUAGCAUGUGAUUGGCAGCUGCAGAAAAAGUCUUAUGGCCGAUUAUUUGCCGAUUAUCAGGCAAUAAUCGGCCGAUUACCGAUUAUUUAAAAAACGGCCGAUUAAUCGGCUUUGCCGAUUAUUCACCGAUUAAUCGGCUCAUCCCUAGUUUGCCUGACCACGGUGGGAAUCGUAGCUCAGUUGGCAGAGCAUUGGACUAGUAUCCCAAAGGUCGCGGGUUCGAUUCCCACCGUGGCCAGGCGGUGUGGAUGCAAACUCAGAGUAUAACAACGCGAACAUGAUACAAUUGAGUUUGUAAGUUCACGCCAACCAUGUUUACUGUAAGUUUAAUGUAGAUUUCGAAUUCUAAAAUUUAGACUUUGUAUUCUAAAAUUGUAUAAUUUUUCGCUCAGAAUUCCACCAACAAAAGUCUCUUAAAAAACCAGGGUCAGAGUAGCGAGCGAUGAUUUGGAUGUUUUCAUAAUUCAACUGAAUUACCUCUGACUGCAUGCAAAAUACUUCUCUUGUUUGUAGAUUCGAUCUUGACAGAAGUGGAAUUUGGAAGGAGAAGAUCGGAAUUAAAUACCAUCGUGCCUUUGAAUGGACAACGUGACUUGUGUUUGAAAUGUGUGCACUGAUGACAGUAAUAACUUUGCGUGAAUGUAAAGAGGAGGGUUGAACGGGGAUGAAAUAUAAUAAAAUGUAUAAUUUAUCAAACUAAAUUAUUUAAGUAAAUCACAGGGUUUUCUAUACAUGGAGUAAUUAAGCUUUUGCUACACUUACUGG